AUGUUCACUCCUGGGCACCCGGGGAAGUGGAAGCGCCGGGCCCUGCUGCGGGGGGGAGAGCCACUGACGCCGGGACCGGGACCGCCGCCGCCGCCGCCACCAUGGUCCCCAGUCUAUGUGAGGAUCUCCUGUCUUCUGUCGACCAGCCACUAAAAAUUGCCAGAGACAAGGUGGUGGGAAAGGAUUACCUUUUGUGUGACUACAACAGAGAUGGGGACUCCUAUAGGUCACCAUGGAGUAACAAGUAUGACCCUCCCUUGGAGGAUGGGGCCAUGCCGUCGGCUCGGCUGAGAAAGCUGGAGGUGGAAGCCAACAAUGCCUUUGACCAGUAUCGAGACCUGUAUUUUGAAGGCGGCGUCUCAUCUGUCUACCUCUGGGAUCUGGAUCAUGGCUUUGCUGGAGUGAUCCUCAUAAAGAAGGCUGGAGAUGGAUCAAAGAAGAUCAAAGGCUGCUGGGAUUCCAUCCACGUGGUAGAAGUGCAGGAGAAAUCCAGCGGUCGCACCGCCCAUUACAAGUUGACCUCCACGGUGAUGCUGUGGCUGCAGACCAACAAAUCUGGCUCUGGCACCAUGAACCUCG
rnacentral:sRNA from 1 species